rnacentral:rRNA from 1 species
CAACCCGUCUCUGUUGCAAAAGAGUGGGAAGAUUUCCAAGUAGAGGCGACAAGCCUAUCGAACUUAGAGAUAGCUGGUUGUUCAGGAAAAGAGUCCAAGCUCUACCUUAAGUUUUUUGAUUUAUCUAAACAAACCCCUAGACUUAAGAGCUAUUCAAGUAAGGCACAGCUUACUUGAAACAGGAUACAACCUCCUACAUUGGGUAAACAAGAACAAUUUAAACAAAGUGGGCCUAAAAGCAGCCAUCUUACAAAAAGCGUUAAAGCUUAACUUACACACACUCAUAAUUCCGAUAGUUCUUAUUAACCCCUCAUUGUUACUGAACUAUUUUAUAAUCUUAUAAAAAUUAUUAUGCUAGAACUAGUAACAUGAAAUUACCUUUCUCCUUAAUGUAAGCUUCAACCAUAAUGGAUUAUCCACUGGUAUUUAACGUAACUGUCUUCAUUAUAGCAACAUACUACUAGAAAACCCUAUAACCACUAACGUUAACCUCACACUAGAGCAUUACAGGAAAGAUUAAAAGAAAGAGAAGGAACUCGGCAAACCCCCAGCCCCGCCUGUUUACCAAAAACAUCGCCUCUUGAUUAACAUAAGAGGUCCAGCCUGCCCAGUGACAUAGUUUAACGGCCGCGGUACCCUAACCGUGCGAAGGUAGCAUAAUCACUUGUUCUCUAAAUAGGGACUAGUAUCAAUGGCAUCACGAGGGCUACACUGUCUCCUCUCUCCAAUCAGUGAAACUGAUCUCCCCGUGAAGAAGCGGGGAUUUAAAUAUAAGACGAGAAGACCCCAUGGAGCUUUAAACUUAAUAUACACCUCUAUUUACCUACACCAACUAACCCUAAAGUCUGUGUAUUAGUUUUAGGUUGGGGGGACCGCGGAGUAUAACUCAACCUCCACGACAAACGGGCCAACGCCCUUAUCCAUGAAACACAAUUCUAAGAAUCAAUAACCUGAUGUUUUAUGACCCGACAAGUCGAUCAACGAACCAAGUUACCCUGGGGAUAACAGCGCAAUCUA